UAUGCUCAGCCGUAAACCUAGACGUUACCCCACAACAAACGUUCGCCAGGGUACUACAAGCGUUAGCUUAAAACCCAAAGGACUUGGCGGUGCCUUAGACCCCCCUAGAGGAGCCUGUUCUAGAACCGAUAACCCCCGUUAAACCUCACCACUUCUAGUCAUUCCCGCCUAUAUACCGCCGUCGUCAGCUUACCCUGUGAAGGACUAACAGUAAGCUAAAUGAAUACAAUUCAAAACGUCAGGUCGAGGUGUAGCGCACGAAGUGGGAAGAAAUGGGCUACAUUUUCUACCACAGAAUACUUACGAACAGUACCCUGAAAAAUUACUCGAAGGAGGAUUUAGUAGUAAAAAGGAAAUA
rnacentral:rRNA from 1 species